GGAGGCUAGGGCCGGAGGAGGAGGCCGGAGAGGGAGAGGGAGGAGGAGGAGGCCGGAGGAGGAACCCGGCAGGAGAGGGAGAGGGAGCGGAGGCGGAGACCGGGAGAGGGAGAGGGAGAGGGCGGCGACCAGAAGAGGGAGCGGAGGCGGAGGAGGGGAAAUUCGGAGAGGGAGAGGAGGCGGAGGCUAGGGCUUACAAUUAACCAGUCGAGUUAUACCCGAAAACUUUAGCCGACGAAAUAAUAAUUUCGUCGGCUAAAGAUAAUAAUUUCGUCCGCUAAAAUAAUAAUCUCGUCGGCUAAGAUAAAAUUCGUCGGCUAAACCUUUGAAAUUCGUCGGCUAAACCUUUGAAAUUCGUCGGCUUUAAAACAAUUAACCAUUCGUCAAACUAUGAUUGUGAUUGUGAUGAUCAAACUUGAGAACGAAAAUCCGACCGUCAGAUCUCACCACCAUGAUAAAAUACAUGUAUGGGAAAAUUCAACUUGAUCCGAUAAGGUUAAGGGCUCGAUCCGAACGGUCAAUCCUUUAAGUCAAAUCCCUAAACGCACGGAAAAAGUCAUUGGACUGUCUAAAUUACGUAUUUUAGCUGGACCUUCAACUGAAAAUAGUUUCAAACCGAUGAGACGCAACAAGUCCUAUAAAAAUUUUACGCAAAAUAACCACCGAAGAUAGGGCUACCCAUAGGGAGAAAGAAUGGAAAAUUGCAUUGACCGCAACUAUCGGCACCGAGACUUUACCGCAAUACCGUGAUUUUUCAACCGUAGACGUAUUUCACCAUUCUGGUCAUGUCUUAUUUCACGACUUUUUUACGUUUGAAGGUUCUACCUAUAGUUUGUUUUUGAAACGGAACAUUUACUUAACACUUGGUAAACAAGUUAUACAACAUUAGUAGGCAUGUUGUGAUUGUGAUGAUCAAACUUGAGAAAAUGAAAUCCGAUUGUCAAAUCUGACCAUCAUGAUAAGAUACAUGUAUGGGAAAAAAUUCAACUUGAUCUGACAAGGUUAAGUGCUCGAUCCGGACGGUCAAUCUCGUAAGUCAAACCCCUAAAUGCACGAAAAAGGUCGUUGGACCGUCUAAAUUUCGUAUUUUGGCCGGACCUUCAACUGAAAAUAUUUUCAAAUCCAUGAGACACAACAAAUCGUAUAAAAAUUUUAUGCAAAAUAACCACCGAAGAUAGGGCUAUAGUAUGUAACAGAAAAAGUUUAGGGUUUAGCCGACGAAUACC
rnacentral:lncRNA from 1 species